GCACGUGGCGUCCGUGUACCAAGGGAUCGAGAAGGGGAAGCACUGCAGCUGCAAGCCAUGGCCAGGCGUCGACGCCAAGGCGGCAGAGGGAUCCACAUCGUCUGCCAAAGAAGGUGAAGCGAAAGCUUGAAUUCCAUGGAAGAGAUCCACUAGUUUUGCCGAGAUUCGAUUGAAGGAGCUUUUGCCCUUUGAGAAAAUGAUGCUUUGCCUCUCUGUCUGAUUGUACUGGUUUCUGGUUUCUAUAUAGAAGUCCAAUAAUAAAAUAUAAAGCGAUGUUAAGUUAGUUGCUAAGGCUGAAGUCUCGAGGGAGUGUGAGACUUCAGAAAACUCUUUGAUCAAAGAGUUGUAUGCCAUACCAUAUCGAUUUAUCAGUAAUGCAUGUGUCUUCGAUUCAUCUUCA